rnacentral:rRNA from 1 species
UCCGGAAUUAUUGGGCGUAAAGCGUCUGCAGGUUGAUGUAAAAGUCUUUUGUUAAAUCUCAGAGCUCAACUCGGAAUCUGCAAAAGGAAACUAUAUGUCUAGAGUAUGGGUAGGGGUAGAGGGAAUUUCUAGUGGAGCGGUGAAAUGCGUAGAUAUUAGAAAGAACACCAAGAGCGAAGGCACUCUACUGGGCCAGUACUGACACUCAGAGACGAAAGCUAGGGGAGCAAACGGGAUUAGAUACCCCGGUAGUCCUAGCCGUAAACGAUGGAUACUAGAUGUUGCAUACUUUUAUAGUACGCAGUGUCGUAGCUAACGCGUUAAGUAUCCCGCCUGGGAAGUAUGCGCGCAAGCGUGAAACUCAAAGGAAUUGACGGGGGCCCGCACAAGCGGUGGAGCAUGUGGUUUAAUUCGAUGCAACACGAAGAACCUUACCAGGACUUGACAUGAAGAGAAGUUUUUGAAAGAAGAAUGUGCUACGGCCUCUUACACAGGUGGUGCAUGGCU